rnacentral:rRNA from 1 species
GGAAUAUUGGUCAAUGGGCGAGAGCCUGAACCAGCCAUGCCGCGUGCAGGAAGACGGCCUUCUGGGUUGUAAACUGCUUUUAUCUGGGAAGAAAACACCUAUGCGUAGGGAACUGACGGUACCAGAUGAAUAAGCACCGGCUAACCCCGUGCCAGCAGCCGCGGUAAUACGGAGGGUGCAAGCGUUGUCCGGAUUUAUUGGGUUUAAAGGGUGCGUAGGCGGCCCGGUAAGUCAGUGGUGAAAGCCUCCAGCUCAACUGGAGAACUGCCAUUGAUACUGCCGGGCUUGAGUACAGACGAGGUUGGCGGAAUUGAUUGUGUAGCGGUGAAAUGCAUAGAUACAAUCAAGAACUCCGAUUGCGUAGGCAGCUAACUAGGCUGUAACUGACGCUGAGGCACGAAAGCGUGGGGAGCGAA